GGAAUAGCUCAGUGGUAGAGUGCAUGCUUAGCAUGCAAGAGGUCCUGGGUUCCAUCCCCAGUAAUUCCA
rnacentral:tRNA from 1 species